UACGUAGGGGGCAAGCGUUGUCCGGAAUCAUUGGGCGUAAAGCGCGUGUAGGCGGGUCGGUAAGUCCGCUCUGAAAGCCCGGGGCUCAACCCCGGGAGGCGGGUGGAUACUGUCGACCUCGAGUCCGGAAGAGGCGAGUGGAAUUCCUGGUGUAGCGGUGGAAUGCGCAGAUAUCAGGAGGAACACCGGUGGCGAAGGCGGGUCUCUGGGCAGUAACUGACGCUGAGGAGCGAAAGCGUGGGGAGCGAACAGG
rnacentral:rRNA from 1 species